rnacentral:rRNA from 1 species
UACGUAGGGUGCAAGCGUUGUCCGGAAUUAUUGGGCGUAAAGAGCUCGUAGGCGGUCUGUCGCGUCGGCUGAUGGAAAACUCGGGGCUCAACCCCGAGCCUGCAGUCGAUACGGGCAGACUAGAGUGCGUGUAGGGGAGACUGGAAUUCCUGGUGUAGCGGUGAAAUGCGCAGAUAUCAGGAGGAACACCGGUGGCGAAGGCGGGUCUCUGGGCCGAUACUGACGCUGGAGGAGCGAAAGCGUGGGGAGCGAACAGG